rnacentral:rRNA from 1 species
UGAUGCAGCGACGCCGCGUGGAGGAUGAAGGCUUUCGGGUCGUAAACUCCUGUCUGGGGGGAUGAAUACUGACAGUACCCCCGGAGGAAGCCCCGGCUAACUACGUGCCAGCAGCCGCGGUAA